GCGUCGUCGUCAACAAUUGUGUUGUACACCCAAUAACUUUCUAUAGCUUUGAGGUGGGAUCACCAAAUUCAUACCAGAGGUCCAUCUCCUGAAGGCACAGGUCAAGUUCGAAUAUGAGUCAAAUUGGAAUAAGGUCAAUGAACUUUCCAUGACUGGCACUGUGCUGUGUUGUACACAUAAUAACUUUGUACACCCAAUAACUUUCUAUAGCUUCAAGGUGGGAUCACCAAAUUCAUAACAGAGGUCCAUCUCCUGAAGGCACAGGUCAAGUUCGAAUAUGAGUCAAAUUGGAAUAAGGUCAAUGAACUUUCCAUGACUGGCACUGUGCUGUGUUGUACACAUAAUAACUUUCUAUAUCUUCGAGGUGGGAUCACCAAAUUCAUACCAGAGGUCCAUCUCCUGAAGGCACAGGUCAAGUUCGAAUAUGAGUCGAAUUUGAAUAAGGUCAAUGAACUUUCCAUGACUGGCACUGUGCUGUGUUGUACACACAAUAACUUUCUAUAGCUUUGAGGUGAGAUCGCCAAAUUCAUAACAGAGGUCCAUCUCUUGAAGGUGCAGGCCAAGUUCAAAUGUGAGCCGAAUUUGAAUAAGGUCAAAGGUCAAUGAACUUUCCAUGACUGCCACUGUGCUGUGCUGUACACAAUAACUUUCUAUAUCUUCGAGUUAGGAUUGCCAAAUUCAUACAAGAGUUCCAUCUUUUGAAGGUGCAGGUCAAGUUCAAAUGUGAGUUGAAUUUGAUUAAGGUCAAAUGUCAAUGAACUUUCCAUGACUGGCACUGCUGUGUUGUACACACAAUAACUUUCUAUAGCUUCGAGGUGGGAUCGCCAAACUCGUAACAGAGGUCCAUCUAAGUCAUAUAGCAUACAUGUAGUUUUGACAUGCAGUCUCUUCAUGACUGCAAUAUGCAGGCGAGACAACGCUUGGCGUUUGCCU